CGGAGGGUGCAAGCGUUAAUCGGAAUUACUGGGCGUAAAGCGUACGUAGGUGGUUUGUUAAGCCAGCUGUGAAAUCCCCGGGCUCAACCUGGGCACUGCAGUUGGAACUGGCAAGCUAGAGUAGGGUAGAGGGGUGUGGAAUUCCAGGUGUAGCGGUGAAAUGCGUAGAUAUCUGGAGGAACAUCAGUGGCGAAGGCGACACCCUGGACUCAUACUGACACUGAGGUACGAAAGCGUGGGGGAGCAAACAGGAUU
rnacentral:rRNA from 1 species